CAGCUAAAAUCAAGAUCUUUCAUCCAGCUCUGAUCUCAGAGGGACUUUUUUCUCAGCACUUAGGACAUGAUUAAAUAACAGGCACGCGUGCACAUACCAGCCCAAAACCCUUUUAUUUCCCAGAUCUUUCUUCAGUAACGAAGCCUGAAAUGGAAAACUACUGUGCAAAGAAACUGUAGCUGCAAGAGGAAGAGGAAUAAUCAACAUGCCAGCCCGGCUCCUUCUGGAGAGCGAGUCCUUUCUCCAUCUUGCUGCCUGGAAUGUGGAUGUGAUGGCUGGGGCACUAGCCUCCCUCUUGGUCUAUUAGGAUGAGAACUACAAGGAGUUGGAAAGCUCCUGUAUCCGGGAAGACGUCACAGAACAGAACCUCCCUUCCAGUUCCAAGCUAGAUCCCUCUGGACUUUUCCUGAGAAAGCGAUAAACUUUCUUGUUUAAGCCACA